AUACGGAGGAUGCAAGCGUUAUCCGGAUUUAUUGGGUUUAAAGGGUGCGUAGGCGGUUUGCUAAGCGGGAGGUGAAAUGCCGGCGCUCAACGUCGGAAGUGCCUCCCGAACUGGUGGACUUGAAUGACUCUGCCGUGGGAGGAAUGUGUAGUGUAGCGGUGAAAUGCUUAGAGAUUACACAGAACACCGAUUGCGAAGGCAUCUCACGAAGGGUUGAUUGACGCUGAGGCACGAAAGCGUGGGGAUCAAACAGGAUUAGAUACCCUGGUAGUCCACGCAGUAAACGAUGAUGGCUAACCGCUGGGCUUAUCAGUUGAGUGGCCAAGCGAAAGCGAUAAGCCAUCCACCUGGGGAGUACGACCGCAAGGUUGAAACUCAAAUGAAUUGACGGGG
rnacentral:rRNA from 1 species